GCAAAUUCUUCAUCACAAAACAUAUACGGACAGUGAAAUUCAUUCAAGUCACCUCUUGGUAAAAGUUUACAUCUCUUUUCUUUUAAACAACUGUGACCAUGUUACGCCAAUUUGCAUACCUAUUAUUCCUGGUUUUUCUCUUUGCCACGAACAGUGUAAAAGCUGAUGACUACAAUGAUAAAGUUAUAAUUAUAAUAUCAGUGGCUGCCGUCUUGCUUGGAUUAUCCGUCAUUUUACUCAUUCUCGCAGGUUGCGGGAUUUAUGCUUUGAGAUACAAGGAAAGAAAAUAAAAGCAUAAUUUAGAACGAAAGAAAGACAGUCGAAGACAAUCGUUAAUUAAUAAAUUUGCGUAGAAUAACAAGCAUUCUAUGGCGGAACUAAAUUUAUCCACUUCAAAAAACAUAAUCUUGUUAAACUUUCAUACGACAUUAUACUGUUAGGAACCGUUAGUUUAGUUUCAUACUGCAAUUGUCAGUAUGUAGUAUAUUUGUGUUCAAU